CUUGCUCUGACGCUGUCUGAUGUCUGCGGAGCAGAUACCGCCGCUCGCCUGUGAUCUCCCACCCACCACAAUCGGGGUGACAGGCGUUGAGUGGUGAUCUAAGUGGAGAAGUGAUGGUAAACAUUGGCCACAGCUUCAUCUUAUACCUGCAAAUCCUCUUUCAUCCAAGGGGUAGGGGGCUCUGAGCCUGCUACAGACACAGCAUAUUCCUGACAAAGAGGAAAGAGUGGGGAGACCUCCAGGCUCUCCAAGGUACAAGCAAUGCUUUCGCUGGUCUGGCUCAAGUCCCCUCACUACAGCUUCUGCUUUGCCAUCAGCUCCAAGAUACUCUUAUGUGCAAGUAAUGCUUUGUGUGAUGAAGAGGGCAGGAUCUGAGGCAGCCCCUGUGCUGGCAAUUUGGAUAGCGGUGUAUGAACUCCCUUUCUCAAAAGAACCCAACCAAUCCAACAAACACCAGUGAAAGGGAAAGAAGCAAAGAACAAACAAUUUUUUCCAGUGAUGGGGACAACAUAAGAAGCAGUAUAAGAAGAGAACUGCAUAAGAAUGAAAAUCUAUGCUUACGGUCUCAGUGCAAAUAUUACUUCUUAAGGAACAGUGGGCCUUGCGGAGCGCUAAUUACGGAUGAAACCAGUCUAAGCCUUUAAAAGAAAAGAAGGACGUACAGGAGGAAAUCCACAGCAUUUGACCGGACCUGCAGUUCCAAUUCAGGGAACCAAUUGAGCGCAGCUACUUUCACAGGAGGAAGCACGGGAGAAAAAGAAAGCAAGCAAGUAGUGUACCUCCACCAGGGAGCACGGUGGAGGCACAGGGCUUGUAGGAGACCUGUCACGAAGCUUGACUCCUUCUGCUCACACAGGGGACACCAGCCCAAAUCACCACGAGCCAAAGACAGCACAAAAAUCCUAGUCAGUGAGGCCUGUUUCAAUGGCCAGUGAGGCCUACUCUAGUGAGUCUCAGGCUUGAGACUUGCAUGGCCCUGCUGAGGACCUCAUUUUCCAUGGCUGGCUAUGGUACAUCUGUUGAUGGCAACUUGAACAUGUCCACACCAGUUAAGCAGUUCCAUUUUCAGGCUCAGACAUUGGUGUUCAAAGACUUUGUUCUUAUUCUAAUGACUGAUAGAGGACCUCUGUUUGGGUUGAUGCUGCAGUCUUUUAAGCACACUUUCCAGAAAGCUGUAGGUCUCUAUUUUGAGAGCAGAGCAGAGAUCCUACUGCUGAACCCAUCAUAUAUAUCCAAGAAGACAACACUUUGGUGGACAUCAACACAUUGCCAGGGCUCCUGCUUCCCAGGCGAGGAGGAUGCUCGUGGCAGCUGACAAAGGCACGGGGAGUGCCGAUGCUGCAAGCCAUGAAUGAGACGAAGGUAUCCCAGAAUACCCCGGACAUCGGGCCGUACUUCCUGCUGGCUGGGAAGGACAAAAGGACAAAGCCAAAGGAGUGCCGGGGUCCCACCACCAGCUCUUGGAGGCAC
ensembl:lncRNA